rnacentral:rRNA from 1 species
UCGGGAAUUUUGGGCAAUGGGCGAAAGCCUGACCCAGCAACGCCGCGUGAGGGAUGAAGUAUUUCGGUAUGUAAACCUCGAAAGAAUGGGAAGAAUAAAUGACGGUACCAUUUAUAAGCUCCGGCUAACUACGUGCCAGCAGCCGCGGUAAUACGUAGGGAGCAAGCGUUGUUCGGAUUUACUGGGCGUAAAGGGCGCGUAGGCGGCGCGGUAAGUCACUUGUGAAAUCUCUGAGCUUAACUCAGAACGGCCAAGUGAUACUGCUGUGCUAGAGUGCGGAAGAGGCAACCGGAAUUCUUUGUGUAGCGGUGAAAUGCGUAGAUAUCAAGAGGAACACCUGAGGCGAAGGCGGGUUGCUGGGCCGACACUGACGCUGAUGCGCGAAAGCCAGGUGAGCAAACG